rnacentral:rRNA from 1 species
AGUGAUGAUGGCAAAGAGGUCACACCCGUUCCCAUCCCGAACACGGAAGUUAAGCUCUUUAGCGCCGAUGGUAGUUGGAGGAUUCCUCCUGUGAGAGUAGGACAUUGCU